rnacentral:rRNA from 1 species
AGGGUGUAAACGCUGCAGACUUGGUGUUGGAGGCCCUUUGGGGGCAUUCAGUGCCGGAGAGAAGUUGUUAAGUCUGCUACUUGGGGAGUACGUCCGCAGGGAUGAAACUUAAAGGAAUCGGCGGGGGAGCACCGCAACGGGAGGAGCGUGCGGUUUAAUUGGAUUCAACACCGUAAAACUCACCAGGGAAGACUGUUACAUGAAGGCCGAGAUGAAGACUCUGCUAGAUUUUCAGAGAGGUGGUGCAUGGCGUCAGUGACU